rnacentral:rRNA from 1 species
UCCGUAGGUGAACCUGCGGAAGGAUCAUUACCGAGUGCGGGUCCUUUGGGCCCAACCUCCCAUCCGUGUCUAUUGUACCCUGUUGCUUCGGCGGGCCCGCCGCUUGUCGGCCGCCGGGGGGGCGCCUCUGCCCCCCGGGCCCGUGCCCGCCGGAGACCCCAACACGAACACUGUCUGAAAGCGUGCAGUCUGAGUUGAUUGAAUGCAAUCAGUUAAAACUUUCAACAAUGGAUCUCUUGGUUCCGGCAUCGAUGAAGAACGCAGCGAAAUGCGAUAACUAAUGUGAAUUGCAGAAUUCAGUGAAUCAUCGAGUCUUUGAACGCACAUUGCGCCCCCUGGUAUUCCGGGGGGCAUGCCUGUCCGAGCGUCAUUGCUGCCCUCAAGCCCGGCUUGUGUGUUGGGUCGCCGUCCCCCUCUCCGGGGGGACGGGCCCGAAAGGCAGCGGCGGCACCGCGUCCGAUCCUCGAGCGUAUGGGGCUUUGUCACAUGCUCUGUAGGAUUGGCCGGCGCCUGCCGACGUUUUCCAACCAUUCUUUCCAGGUUGACCUCGGAUCAGGUAGGGAUACCCGCUGAACUUAAGCAUAU